GGGUGAGAAGCACAUAUGGAUGUGCGGCAGACUGUUAAUCUGAUGGUAGAGAGUUCGAGCCUCUCCUUGCCCGCCA
rnacentral:tRNA from 1 species